UAAUAACCAUUAUUGGAUAUCCGUUGGGAUAAGUGUUUAACAUUUUGAAAUUCAUGUUCAUACACAAAAUGUUUUAGUAACAUCGAUAUGCAUCAAGCCAAUGAAUAAUUAAUAGUUUUCCCCAUUAUUAUUGGUUUUGGGUCAGAAACCAAAUAGUUUUCAUCUAAAAGCUUUGAAUGUGAAAAGUGCUCCACCACAGCAUGCAGAGAUGAACCCUCAAAGGAGGAUAAGAAUACAUGUUGGAUAUGAAUGAUAACUAAGCCAUCCUAGAAGGAUUUAUAUACCGCUCGUUUUGAAGACUAUCAUAUUAUAUAGUCAGCUAUUCCAACAUAAGGGGGAGAAUGUAUACAGCUAGUGAAAAAGAUAAAUAGAAAUGAAUUAUCAAUGAUCCUCGGAGUAAAGAAUGUAUAUUAAGAGUCCAAAAGAUAAUUCAAUUACAGAAUUUAGCGUUGUAAUUGCCAGACGCAUUUGCUGACCCAAAUAAAGUGAUGAAGUCACUUAUACCAGUUGUAAAUUAAAUGCUCUAGAAUAUAAUGAAUGUCCUGUAAGGACCAAUUUCAAACUGUUAUUGAGUCUUAAGAUCGCAUGAAGCGUAAUAGACCUUGGUUCCAAAUAUAAAUAUCCUCGUAA
rnacentral:sRNA from 1 species